rnacentral:rRNA from 1 species
ACCCUUUAAUGUUUGAUGUUCUAACGUGGACCCGUGAUCCGGGUUGCGGACAGUGUCUGGUGGGUAGUUUGACUGGGGCGGUCUCCUCCUAAAGAGUAACGGAGGAGCACGAAGGUUGGCUAAUCCUGGUCGGACAUCAGGAGGUUAGUGCAAUGGCAUAAGCCAGCUUGACUGCGAGCGUGACGGCGCGAGCAGGUGCGAAAGCAGGUCAUAGUGAUCCGGUGGUUCUGAAUGGAAGGGCCAUCGCUCAACGGAUAAAAGGUACUCCGGGGAUAACAGGCUGAUACCGCCCAAGAGUUCAUAUCGACGGCGGUGUUUGGCACCUCGAUGUCGGCUCAUCACAUCCUGGGGCUGAAGUAGGUCCCAAGGGUAUGGCUGUUCGCCAUUUAAAGUGGUACGCGAGCUGGGUUUAGAACGUCGUGAGACAGUUCGGUCCCUAUCUGCCGUGGGCGCUGGAGAACUGAGGGGGGCUGCUCCUAGUACGAGAGGACCGGAGUGGACGCAUCACUGGUG